GCCGUAGGGCGCAAGCGUUGUCCGGAUUUAUUGGGCGUAAAGAGCUCGUAGGCGGUGUUCCAUGUCAGAGGUGAAAGCCUGGGGCUCAACUCCAGAAUUGCCUUUGAAACGGGGACGCUUGAGUCCGAGAGAGGAUGGCGGAAUUCCUAGUGUAGAGGUGAAAUUCGUAGAUAUUAGGAAGAACACCGGUGGCGAAGGCGGCCAUCUGGCUCGGUACUGACGCUCAGGUUCGAAAGCGUGGGGAGCAAACAGG
rnacentral:rRNA from 1 species